rnacentral:piRNA from 1 species
UGGUAGCCCAUCAAAGCCGUAAACGCAUG